rnacentral:rRNA from 1 species
CGGCGGACGGGUGAGUAAUGCCUAGGAAUCUGCCUGGUAGUGGGGGACAACGUUUCGAAAGGAACGCUAAUACCGCAUACGUCCUACGGGAGAAAGCAGGGGACCUUCGGGCCUUGCGCUAUCAGAUGAGCCCAGGUCGGAUUAGCUAGUUGGUGAGGUAAUGGCUCACCAAGGCGACAAUCCGUAACUGGUCUGAGAGGAUGAUCAGUCACACUGGAACUGAGACACGGUCCAGACUCCUACGGGAGGCAGCAGCG